rnacentral:rRNA from 1 species
CGUCAGCUCGUGUCGUGAGAUGUUCGGUUAAGUCCGGCAACGAGCGCAACCCACAUCCCUAGUUGCCAAUGAUGGAACUCUAGGGAAACUGCCCGUGAUAAGCGGGAGGAAGGUGUGGAUGACGUCAAGUCCUCAUGGCCCUUACGGGUUGGGCUACACACGUGCUACAAUGGCAGUGACAAUGGGUUAAUCCCCAAAAGCUGUCUCAGUUCGGAUUGGGGUCUGCAACUCGACCCCAUGAAGUCGGAAUCGCUAGUAAUCGCGUAACAGCAUGACGCGGUGAAUACGUUCCCGGGCCUU